GACGAACGCUGGCGGCGUGCCUAAUACAUGCAAGUCGAGCGGACAGAAGGGAGCUUGCUCCCGGAAGUUAGCGGCGGACGGGUGAGUAACACGUGGGCAACCUACCCUGUAGACCGGGAUAACAUCGAGAAAUCGGUGCUAAUACCGGAUAAUCAUUUGAAGUGCAUGCUUCGAAUGUAAAAGAUGGCUCCGGCUAUCACUACGGGAUGGGCCCGCGGCGCAUUAGCUAGUUGGUAAGGUAAUGGCUUACCAAGGCAACGAUGCGUAGCCGACCGGAGAGGGUGAUCGGCCACACUGGGACUGAGACACGGCCCAGACUCCUACGGGAGGCAGCAGUAGGGAAUCUUCCGCAAUGGACGAAAGUCUGACGGAGCAACGCCGCGUGAGUGAUGAAGGUUUUCGGAUCGUAAAGCUCUGUUGUUAGGGAAGAACAAGUGCCGUUUGAAUAAGGCGGCACCUUGACGGUACCUAACCAGAAAGCCACGGCUAACUACGUGCCAGCCGCCGCAGUAAUAC
rnacentral:rRNA from 1 species